UACGAAGGGGGCUAGCGUUGCUCGGAAUCACUGGGCGUAAAGGGUGCGUAGGCGGGUCUUUAAGUCCGGGGUGAAAUCCUGGAGCUCAACUCCAGAACUGCCUUUGAUACUGAAGAUCUUGAGUCCGGGAGAGGUGAGUGGAACUGCGAGUGUAGAGGUGAAAUUCGUAGAUAUUCGCAAGAACACCAGUGGCGAAGGCGGCUCACUGGCCCGGUACUGACGCUGAGGCACGAAAGCGUGGGGAGCAAACAGG
rnacentral:rRNA from 1 species